rnacentral:rRNA from 1 species
GUGUCAGCAGCCGCGGUAAGACGAACCGUGCGAACGUUGUUCGGAUUCACUGGGCUUAAAGGGCGCGUAGGCGGCUUGUCAAGUCAGGGGUGAAAUCUUUCGGCUUAACCGGAAAACAGCCUCUGAUACUGGCGAGCUAGAGGGAGGUAGGGGCAUGUGGAACUCCAGGUGGAGCGGUGAAAUGCGUAGAUAUCUGGAGGAACGCCGGUGGCGAAAGCGACGUGCUGGACCUCUUCUGACGCUGAGGCGCGAAAGCUAGGGGAGCAAACGGGAUUAGAUACCCCGGUAGUCCUAGCCCUAAACGAUGGGUACUAGGUUGUGGACUUGACAUGGGUUCACAGCCGAAGCAAAAGUGUUAAGUACCCCGCCUGGGGAGUAUGGUCGCAAGGCUGAA